CAUAUGGGAUCCCGGGCGUUCAAGGCGAGGACCUUAACCACUGCGCCACUGUGCCGGGCCCUAGAUGCAAUUUAUAUACUAAACACCUGCAACCUCUAUGUAGAUUCCUUUUCAGAUUUUUGGUUGUUUUGUGGCCUGGAAAUGUUUCGUUCUACUUCCAUUUUGCUUGCUGAGAGCUCACAAGCAUAUGAGUGUGUUUACGUGUGUGUUUUUUGGUUCAGCAUACACAGCGGGAGGAACCUUUCCUGAGGAGCCUCAGUUCUCCCAUGAAUUGGGAGAACCAUGUGGCUCAGAGAAAUUGUACCUGGCUCAGGGCUGCACAGCAAGCAGCCAGAGCGCCAGCAAAUUUGACUGAGAUGUAGCCAUUCCACUCAGUGAUUUCUGCUACUCUCGUCUGCCUCUGAUUACAGCCCAGAAACAGAUUCCAGCAUUCAUUCAUGUGAUGCUCACCGCGCACCUGUGGUGUGCGGUGAGCAAUCCAGGUGUGGGGAAGCAGCGAGGAGAACAGAUGGGGUCUCUCCCACAGACCUGGAGAAACAACAAGUGAAUGCACACACACAUAAAACCAAGGUGGUUUUCGAAAGAGACUUUCUUGGAAGCCAACAGAACGAGCUGGGAGAUCUCAACAUCUGCUGCAAUUUGACUGUUCAGAACUCCUGAUGGUGGGAGUUUUCUAUCU